rnacentral:rRNA from 1 species
CGCGGGAUUGGGGACGGGGUGCAGCAGGUGCGAAACCUCCUCAAUGCACUAACGUGCGAAGGGGUUACCUCGAGUGCUACCUGAAGAAGGUGGCUUUUCCUUGGUCUAAAAAGCCUCGGGAAUAAGAGGGGGGCAAGACUGGUGUCAGCCGCCGCGGUAACACCAGCCCCUCGAGUGGUGGGGAUGAUUAUUUGGCCUAAAGCGUCCGUAGCCGGCCGGGUAAGUUUCCCGUUAAAUCCAACGUCUCAAGCGUUGGACUGCGGGAAAUACUGCCUGGCUAGAGAGUGGGAGAGGUCAGCGGUAUUCUGGGGGUAGGGGCGAAAUCCUUUGAUCCCCGGAGGACCACCAGUGGCGAAGGCUGCUGACUAGAACACGUCUGACGGUCAGGGACGAAAGCUGGGGUAGCGAACCGGAUUAGAUACCCGGGUAGUCCCAGCCGUAAACGAUGCAUGCUAGGUGUUGGGUUGGCCACGAGCCACCCCAGUGCCGCAGGGAAGCCGUUAAGCAUGCCGCCUGGGAAGUACGAUCGCAAGAUUGAAACUUAAAGGAAUUGGCGGGGGAGCACCACCAGGCGUGAAGCCUGCGGUUUAAUUGGAGUCAACGCCGGGAACCUUACCGGAAGCGACAGCAGAGUGAAGGCCAGAUUGAAGAUCUUGCCAGACGAGCUGAGAGGAGGUGCAUGGCCGUCGCCAGUUCGUGCCGUGAGGUGUUCUCUUAAGUGAGAUAACGAACGAGACCCGUGCCACAUGUUGCCAACAGAAUCUAAAGGGUUGCUGAGCACUCUUGUGGGACCGCAGCCGAUAAGGCUGAGGAAGGGGCGGGCAACGGCAGGUCAGUAUGCCCCGAAUCUUCCGGGCCACACGCGGGCUGCAAUGGUAUGGACAGAGGGCUGCCACCCCGAAAGGGGGAGCCAAUCCCUAAACCAUACCUCAGUUGGGAUUGAGGGCUGCAACCCGCCCUCAUGAACAUGGAAUGCCUAGUAACUGCCAGUCAUCAUCUGGCGGUGAAUACGUCCCUGCUCCUUGACGAAUUCGCCGAAUCACUAGU